GACGAACGCUGGCAGCGUGCCUAAUACAUGCAAGUCGAGCGAAGCGGCGGAUGGGUGAGUAACGCGUGGGUAACCUGCCAGUAAGUCUGGGAUACCAUAUGGAAACAGAUGCCAAUACCGGAUACUAAAGGCAGGACCUGCGAUGCAGAAGCUAGUUGGUAAGGUAACGGCUUACCAAGGCGAUGAUGCAUAGCCGAGUUGGUGAACUUAUCGUCCACAGUGGGACUGAGACAAGGCCCAAACUCCUACGGGAGGCAGCAGUAGGGAAGCUUCCACAAUGGACGAAAGUCUGAUUGAGCAACGCCGCGUGAUGGAAGAAGGUUUUCGGAUCGUAAAGCUCUGUUGUUGGUGAAGCGGUAUUCAACCAGAAAGUCACGGCUAACUACGUGCCAGCAGCCGCGGUAAUUC
rnacentral:rRNA from 1 species